GGACCCAUAGCUCAAUUGGCAGAGCAGGGGACUCAUAAUCCCUUGGUUCCAGGUUCGAGUCCUGGUGGGUCCA
rnacentral:tRNA from 1 species